rnacentral:rRNA from 1 species
GUGAACGCUGGCGGUAGGCCUAACACCUGCAAGUCGAACGGCAGCACAGUAAGAGCUUGCUCUUACGGGUGGCGAGUGGCGGACGGGUGAGGAAUACAUCGGAAUCUACUUUUUCGUGGGGGAUAACGUAGGGAAACUUACGCUAAUACCGCAUACGACCUACGGGUGAAAGCAGGGGAUCUUCGGACCUUGCGCGAUUGAAUGAGCCGAUGUCGGAUUAGCUAGUUGGCGGGGUAAAGGCCCACCAAGGCGACGAUCCGUAGCUGGUCUGAGAGGAUGAUCAGCCACACUGGAACUGAGACACGGUCCAGACUCCUACGGGAGGCAGCAGUGGGGAAUAUUGGACAAUGGGCGCAAGCCUGAUCCAGCCAUACCGCGUGGGUGAAGAAGGCCUUCGGGUUGUAAAGCCCUUUUGUUGGGAAAGAAAAGCAGCAGGUUAAUACCCCGCUGUUCUGACGGUACCCAAAGAAUAAGCACCGGCUAACUUCGUG